rnacentral:rRNA from 1 species
AUAGCGUAUAUUAAAGUUGUUGCGGUUAAAAAGCUCGUAGUUGAAUCUGUGUCCCACGCUGUCGGUUCACCGCUCGCGGUGUCUAACUGGCAUGAUUGUGGGACGUCCUACCGGUGGGCUUAGCCCCUCGGGGCGGCCCAACUAAUAUCCCAUCGCGGUGCUCUUCACUGAGUGUCGAGGUGGGCCGGUACGUUUACUUUGAACAAAUUAGAGUGCUUAAAGCAGGCUAUUUUCGCCUGAAUACUGUGUGCAUGGAAUAAUGGAAUAGGACCUCGGUUCUAUUUUGUUGGUUUUCGGAACCCCGAGGUAAUGAUUAAUAGGAACAGAUGGGGGCAUUCGUAUUGCGACGUUAGAGGUGAAAUUCUUGGAUCGUCGCAAGACGGACAGAAGCGAAAGCAUUUGCCAAAAAUGUUUUCUUUAAUCAAGAACGAAAGUUAGAGGUUCGAAGGCGAUCAGAUACCGCCCUAGUUCUAACCAUAAACGAUGCCAGCUAGCGAUCCGCCGAAGUUCCUCCGAUGACUCGGCGGGCAGCUUCCGGGAAACCAAAGCUUUUGGGUUCCGGGGGAAGUAUGGUUGCAAAGCUGAAACUUAAAGGAAUUGACGGAAGGGCACCACCAGGAGUGGAGCCUGCGGCUUAAUUUGACUCAACACGGGAAACCUCACCAGGCCCGGACACCGGAAGGAUUGACAGAUUGAGAGCUCUUUCUUGAUUCGGUGGGUGGUGGUGCAUGGCCGUUCUUAGUUGGUGGAGCGAUUUGUCUGGUUAAUUCCGAUAACGAACGAGACUCUAGCCUGCUAAAUAGGCGUACUUCCCGGUAUCUCGAAGGCCCCCGGCUUCGGUCGGGCGGUUUUUACUACCGGCGUACAAAUAAAUCUUCUUAGAGGGAC